CUUUCACAUUGCUAUGGUCACCAUGUAAAUUGUUCUGACUCUCGCUAACUUCACUGCAACAUAUCUUAUUGCCACAGACACCCCAAUCUUCAGCAACCACCACCCUGAUCAGUCAGCAGCCAUCAACAUCAAGGCAAGGCCCUCCACCAGCAAAAUGAUUACCACUCACUGAAGGCUCAGAAGUGGUCUGGAACCAAACCUGCAAUAUCUCUGAGGUAUGCCUACAGUUAGAAAGCAAUGGUACUCAGACCUCAGGUCUUCAGAUUUCAAGUUCAAUCCUUUUUCUGUUAAACUGAGUGGCCUCUCAGUCUGAAUGCCUCAUUUAAUAGACAUGCCAGAAAAUGGCUCCCUCUUCCUCUCACGCAAACUAUUCAUUCUGCUCCAUUGCUGCUUCAUCAUAGAUGGAGGAAAACUUCAUUUCUUGAAGAUUAUGGUAGUGGAGCACAAACUCUGAUAGUCUGUGGUCUACCAUGUUGAUACCUACUAUUAAAAAAUCAUUUACUAGUAAUUUGACCUUUAUUUGAUUAAUAUUUGAGUUUGGGAAGGGUUAUAGGGAAAUACUUUUUCUAGCAGAGAUGUAAUGCUCAACAGGAGCUAAGA